GUCGUUCAUUGUCCUCUGUGGGAGUCUGCACACACCAGAAAGAUUAGAAAACUUCUAUUGGAAAGUAUGGGAAUAAACCAACAUAAUAUUUUAUUCUUCUUACGUAUGGUUUUGCUCGUGAGAUACCAGUCAGUGGAGCGGAAAAUGAUUCGCAUCUAAUCCAAUAACAAACUAACGAUGAUUCUUGAAGGAAAAAGAUGUUUUAUAAAUAAUAUCCACAAGAUUUGUAACGAAGGCCAGUGAUGUUUCACUCCAGCACUAACGCACUGAGUCUAAUCCCCUACAGGUAUCGGUUUCAGGAGGAGGAGAUGGAUCCAUUCGGCGAUUCUCGAGGUACGAAUAAGGCUGCUGCGUUAAUAUAAAGCUCCACGCCAACAAUGAAGCAUCCUAUAUCGAUUCUCAGCUUUUGGAGAGAGAGAGGAAUCACGGCCGAUUUUCAAUAACAAUUCUUUCUCAAGGUUCGCUGUAGCUUGUAUAUCAACGAAGUAUCAAGGCUAAUAAAGAUUGUAUUCUUAAACAUGUAAACAAAGUUUAUUUUGAAUGUCUAGCGUUAAAGUUAUUGCAAUUAUUUAGAUCUGUGGAUUUUUAAUGAAAUUAGGAAGCUUGGUAAAUCGAGUUGUUACAAUAAUUGUAUGAAGCCUAGAAGUAAGAGAUCUGUAUAAAAUUUUGAUAUAUACACCAUUCCUUUUAAUCCACGUUUGAUAUAUUGUACUUCUGAGAUAUAUAUAUAUUUGAUGACGUGGAUUCGGUAUAGUCUAGAUAAUGUUAAAAGUCUGCAUUGUGUUGAUUUAGGCUGCGUAAUGUAACGUCAGAUUGUAACCGAAUCGCCUAGCUUAAACAUAACUGUACAAUUAUACAAUUAAGCAAUGCCUAAAUCUUCCUAAGUUGGGUUUUUUUGGUGUUCAUGCUAGGCUUGAAUAGGAUCUCUUUACGUUGUAUUUGAAUUACGGAAAUAAAAGAACUGAAAUAUACACCAAAGCAAACAAACUAGAAUUUACACAGAUGUAAGAGUAAAAUCUCAAGUGCCUCAGCCUGCAUGUACCAGUCGUUGUAUUUAACUUGAUGGAGAGGCAAUGUCCGGCGAAUCGUAUUGAUAUACAUAUGUACAUGCCGAUAUUUCCAGAUGCAUUCACAUGUUUAUUGUAAUGCAAAUCUUUGAAAAAGUACUUUAACAUUAAAAAUUAUUUGAAAA